UGAUGGUUUAACUCCUUCCCCUACUA
rnacentral:tRNA from 2 species